CCAAUCAAACCGGGAGAUAGCUGGUUCUCCCCGAAAGCUAUUUAGGUAGCGCCUCGUGAACUCAUCUUCGGGGGUAGAGCACUGUUUCGGCUAGGGGGUCAUCCCGACUUACCAACCCGAUGCAAACUACGAAUACCGAAGAAUGUUAUCACGGGAGACACACGGCGGGUGCUAACGUCCGUCGUGAAGAGGGAAACAACCCAGACCGCCAGCUAAGGUCCCAAAGUCAUGGUUAAGUGGGAAACGAUGUGGGAAGGCACAGACAGCCAGGAUGUUGGCUUAGAAGCAGCCAUCAUUUAAAGAAAGCGUAAUAGCUCACUGGUCGAGUCGGCCUGCGCGGAAGAUGUAACGGGGCUAAACCAUGCACCGAAGCUGCGGCAGCGACACUAUGUGUUGUUGGGUAGGGGAGCGUUCUGUAAGCCUGCGAAGGUGUGCUGUGAGGCAUGCUGGAGGUAUCAGAAGUGCGAAUGCUGACAUAAGUAACGAUAAAGCGGGUGAAAAGCCCGCUCGCCGGAAGACCAAGGGUUCCUGUCCAACGUUAAUCGGGGCAGGGUGAGUCGACCCCUAAGGCGAGGCCGAAAGGCGUAGUCGAUGGGAAACAGGUUAAUAUUCCUGUACUUGGUGUUACUGCGAAGGGGGGACGGAGAAGGCUAUGUUAGCCGGGCGACGGUUGUCCCGGUUUAAGCAUGUAGGCUGGUUAUCCAGGCAAAUCCGGAUAAUCAAGGCUGAGGUGUGAUGACGAGGCACUACGGUGCUGAAGUAACAAAUGCCCUGCUUCCAGGAAAAGCCUCUAAGCAUCAGGUAACAUCAAAUCGUACCCCAAACCGACACAGGUGGUCAGGUAGAG
rnacentral:rRNA from 1 species